UCCGGUUUAUCACCGGCAGUUCCCUUAGAGUUCCCGGCUUGACCCGCUGGCAACUAAGGGUAGGGGUUGCGCUCGUUACGGGACUUAACCCAACAUCUCACGACACGAGCUGACGACAGCCAUGCAGCACCUCUACAGCGACCCCGAAGGGAGACCCACUUUCAUGGGCUGUCCACUGCAGUUCAAACCCAGGUAAGGUUCUUCGCGUUGCGUCGAAUUAAACCACAUGCUCCACCGCUUGUGCGGGCCCCCGUCAAUUCCUUUGAGUUUCAUUCUUGCGAACGUACUCCCCAGGUGGGGUACUUAACGCGUUAGCUACGACACUGGAGGGGUCGAUACCUCCAACAUCUAGUACCCAUCGUUUAAGGCGUGGACUAC
rnacentral:misc_RNA from 1 species